GCCUACAGCCAUACCACCUUGAACAUGCCCAAUUUCAUCUGAUCUAGGAAGCUAAGUAGGGUCAGGCCUGGUUAGUACUUGGAUGGAGAAAGGCUUGCUUAUUGCU
rnacentral:rRNA from 1 species